rnacentral:lncRNA from 1 species
UAUCGGAUUGAGUCCAAAACUUGGGGAACAUCAUAAUGUUGUGGGAGGAGUCAUUUGGUGGGUUUUGAGUGAAAUCCAAUCCUUAGAACUAUACAAUACACCAACCACUCCAUUUCAGAACGAACUUCGUACGAACCUGAAUUGUCCGAUUUCAAGCACCAAUCGAUAUCGGAUUGAGUCCAAAACUUGGGGAACAUCAUAAUAUUGUGGGAGG